GCCGGUGUGGCGGAAUGGUAGACGCAGGGGAUUCAAAAUCCCCCGCCCGCAAGGGCUUGUCGGUUCGAGUCCGACCACCGGUA
rnacentral:tRNA from 2 species